UGGGUUUUUUUUUUUUGUGUUGCUAGGUUGUUUAUUGAGUUCCACAAUCCAUGUAGAGAAUAACUUUGUUGUAAUAUUUUUUUUAUGUGAAACCUGAAGCACAUGUUACUUGUUUUCAAAAUGGUGUAAAAUUGCUUAAUAAUAAUUUGCAAGUUUAUUUGAUAUGUGAGAAUAACAUAGGUUACAUUGUAUAUUAUAUACAUGUAUGGGGUGAAUUCUGUUUGUAAUCAUGAAAAAGUGUGUAAUAUACACAUUGUAUGUAUGUAUAAGAGAAUCAUGUUGUAUAUUUUCCCAUUGUUUGAUAGUGCUUUUAAAUCAUGUAUGAUACUAUGUCAUUAUCAUCUUACUUGAAACUAAUCAUGUUGUCAUGUAAAACUUUGUUCUACAGCAGGAUAAAACAGUUUCAACAUAAAAAUUUUACAAGGUCAUAUAUUUCUGUUUUAGGACUUACCUUGUUUAAUUACUAUAUUUAAGAGUAAACAAAUAUACAAAUAUACAUUUAAGGUUC